UGGUGGAGUGAUUUGUCUGGUUAAUUCCGAUAACGAACGAGACCUUAACCUGCUAAAUAGCGCUUCGGAGGACUCUCCGGAGAAGCUUCUUAGAGGGACUGUGUGGUAAAACCUCAAGGAAGUUUAAGGCAAUAACA
rnacentral:rRNA from 1 species